GUUUAUAAACAGGUGUGCAGGAAUUUUUUUUUUUUUUUCAGAAAUUGUAAGUGUUGGCAGCUACGUGCCAGAUAUUCCAAGGACACAUAUCGAGACUGUGUAUCCAAGUGAUCAUAUGACUUGUUAAUUGUUGCAUGAAAAAGUCAUCACCUUUAAUUGCAACUUAAUGAGAGCUGAUUGUAGUUACCCUGCAGUAAAAUUUGAGCCUGUCUGUGAUGAGGGUAACGAUGAGCAGGAGCUCAUCCUACCUCUGCUACCUGAUGUCAGUGAUCUGCCUGCAGAUGAUGUGACAGAUUUGCCACCAAAGGAGGAACAUCAACAGAACCAGAGCCCACAGCUUCUACUUCAACAGCCAGCACAGCCAUGUAGAUUUGUUUCAUGAUGUGUUCACAACCUCAGUUGUGAAAUCUGAAAAGUCGCUUUUCACAAGGGUUGAAGAACAAGUCAAUCUCAUUAAAAUCAGAUCUUAGUUCUCGCUACCGUUUAGAACUAAGAUCUGAUUUUAAUGAGAUUGAGAACAAGUUAACUGUUAUGUGUCAGAGCAGUGUUUUUCCCUUAAGGAAUGAAUCUAGAUUUUCACUGCUGUCUACCAUGGCAAAGUUGUAUUUGUGUAUCCCUGUAACAUCUGUGCCCCUGAAGGGGUUUUCUCCACAGCAGGGGACAAAGUGACAGCUUCAAGUCAGACUAUGUUGACAUACAUAUUUUUCUGAAAUAAAACCAUGAAGCUAUGAUUUAGCUUGCAACAUGUAAAGGACAUUUUCAACCCGUCAUUCAAAUUAGUGAAGUUUGUUUAUGUUGAAAGUUGUAGUUAUGCUGUUUGUUGAUUCAAGAGUUUGAAAUGAACUGAAAAAAAUAUAACUUCAAGUCGAUGGUUGUUGAAUAGUUGUGGUUCUCGGAGUCCAGAUUACUGAUAUAAGUCACUCACAUAUUCUGUUUUCACUGACUUCGUGACUUUCACUGA